CUACGGGGCGCUGCAGUGAGGAAUAUUGCACAAUGGGGGGAACCCUGAUGCAGCAACGCCGCGUGGAGGAUGACGCAUUUCGGUGUGUAAACUCCUUUUAUAUGUCAAGAAAAUGACGGUAGCAUAUGAAUAAGCACCGGCUAACUCCGUGCCGGCAGCCGCGGUAAUACGGAGGGUGCAAGCGUUACUCGGAAUCACUGGGCGUAAAGGACGCGUAGGCGGGUUGGAAAGUCAGGUGUGAAAUCCUACAGCUUAACUGUAGAACUGCACUUGAAACUUCUAAUCUAGAGUAUGGGAGGGGGAGAUGGAAUUAGUGGUGUAGGGGUAAAAUCCGUAGAUAUCACUAGGAAUACCUAAAGCGAAGGCGAUCUCCUGGAACAUUACUGACGCUAAGGCGUGAAAGCGUGGGGAGCAAACAGGAUUAGAUACCCUAGUAGUC
rnacentral:rRNA from 1 species